CCCAGGUCAGGUAGAAGCUGAGUGCCAGCUGGUAGGUCAUGCCUUCCUGCAGGUACCUGUGGGCCUGCAGCAGGUAGAACAGGAUACCCAGUACGAUGCUGGUUCCUGCAUGAGCACAGGUGUUAGGAGGCUGAGAAUCAGAUAUGUAAGGACUCCUUCCCAUAGUCAUGUGGCUGCCUGGCUCUGGCUCAUUAUUUCCCCACUUUCUUUAACCUCCCAGACCCUGUACCUUUGCUCCUAAGCAUGAAGAUGGGCUUCUGACCAAGUCCUGCUAGAGGACACUGAAAGGGCAAGCCUUGGGCUUUAACCAGGCAAUGGAAAAUUUAAAUUGGGCUCCAGAGAAGAGACAUUGAGACUGAUACUUCCAGCACUGAGGAUCUACCUCUAGAAGUCUAGCUCAGAACUUGGCCUCCGGCCUGGGCACUGCCUCAUACCUGCCAGAAUUGAUCUCAAUGGAGCUGCACAAUGAGAGGUUUUGCAUGUUGUCUAGAGGACUUUGGUUGAGUUCAGAGCUGAGCACACUUGCCUUCAGACUCUCCUGGGACUCCCAGUUCUCAUCCAUAUGAGCAAGGGCUUCAUGUUACUGGCCGUGGCCCUGUGCUGAGUCCUCCUCCCGCCCAUGGCCCUCUCCUCCUGGCCAGUGGUCCUCCGCCUGAACAUGGCCGACUUUGUCUUCAGUUUCCUCUGCCUCGGCAUUGGGCUCCUGAUUUCUCUUCAGCCUGACGCUCUUUUCAGUUAACGGCAAGGCGGUGCACCCAAGUCCGGUGGUGUCCUACCUGGUGACCUCCUACCUGUGCUGGGACGCCAGCGACUUGAUGCUGCACUCCGCAGGGCGCAGCGAGGCGGACAUCCAAACAGCGGAACUCAGACGCUGACUCCGAGCGCACCCCGGGCCUUCCCAUUUCAUACACCCUCGAGGAUGAGACCCAAGCACCUCCAAGGAAUAGCACCCGAGGUCUUCAGGACACCGACCGGUAGCCAUGGCCAGAUGCCCGGCCAACCCCUUCAGCGUGGCCACGCCCUGGAUAUUCGACCUCCCCUGAGGCCCCACCCCCUGAUAUCAGGCCACGCCCUCCGAGGGGACCGGUGGCAAACUCCAGCCCUCGCUCUAGGGCCCGCCCUUUGCGGCUUUGUCCCUGCCCACUGGGUCCUCACAGUACCUCCACCCCAGAGGCCCAGCAUCCCCUCCCGUUCUGCAGACACUUGUCCAGCGUCCCGCUGAGCUCGGCAGUGUGGCUAGUUUGUGUGGCCCUGCCCCUGGUGCCCAGCCAGGGUGGUCUGCAUGGAACUUCUUUCCCGGAGUUCCGGCCUCAGCUCCGAUGUCCACCCUUGUCCCCAGGUGGACACAGCACCGCCCAGCAUUUGGUGCAACUCCACCCUUCUGCAGAACGGGCCCCUCCCUGGGAAGGCAUGGCUUGCAAUAACAUCCCUCUGUACCUUUUCUGGCUUCCCCG
rnacentral:lncRNA from 1 species